GGGCCUGACCCCAGAAGCUGAGGCACAAAGAAGAUAACAGACUUAAUCAAGAUCACCCAGCCCAUGAGGAGAAUGAGCCUCAGAAUGGCCACACGACUUACCUAAGCCCCAACAGCCAAUAAGAGCUGAAGCCAGUAUUUGAAAUCAGGCAGCUGGACUCCAGAGCUUGCCUUCUUAACUACUGCACAAAACUAGCUCUUAGGGCAAGGAUGUGGUGGUGAUGCCAACAGAGGUGAUAGGCAUGGAGAUGUACAUCAAGGAAACCCUCCGGGAGGAGGCUCCAUGUUAGGUGCUGGAGAUACAGCGAUGAACAAGAUAUUCAAGGUACCUGACUACCUGGAGUUUACAGUCUAAUUGAAGGACACAGGAAGGAAGCUGUACUGACCAUUUAUCUUUCACUGCUGCUCAAC